GUCAUUAAGACCAAAAAAACGGAACUCAGACUCAAUAGAUCUGGCCCAACCCUAUGGAUAACUUAUAUGUACCCUAGGAAAAAAAAACACUAGGUGUCUAUGCAGCUAUAUAUAAGCCAUACACAACUUAUAAGUGC